CCACGAGCUUUCACUAAGCUUUCUGCCUCAGACUCAAGCCACGAAAAUGAAAUUUCGUUUGAGAAAUGAAACAGAGAAAGCUUAUAAGAAAAUGCCAUAGUUCAGAAGAAAGAGACACGGGAGUGCUGGAUCCUCUCUCUGGGCGUCCUCCCUCCUGGGAACACGUAUAACAAGUACUCACAGCUGCAGCUCACUCACAGGCCUGAAGAAAAAGAUGCUGGGGCGCUGCUCCUGAGACAGCAGCUAACACCUGGAGGGCACUUCUCAAGUUUGCAUGCAUCGCUCUUUGAUGCUCCCAACCAACCUCUAAAAGGCAGGAUUCUCCUCCUUCAUCGCCCCCCACCCCUCCCGACGAUUUUGCAAACGAGGAAAUUAAUGUCCAGAUAAGUUAACUGACUUGCCCAAGAGAUUACAGCCACUGAAUGGUGGAGCUGGGACUUUAGUUCUAACAUUUACUGCGCAUUUACUAUAUGCAAGGACUUAGAUAAGUAUAAAUGAUAUAAUUAUGAAAUUA